rnacentral:rRNA from 1 species
UACGAAGGGGGCUAGCGUUGCUCGGAAUCACUGGGCGUAAAGCGCGCGUAGGCGGCUUCUUAAGUCAGGGGUGAAAUCCUGGAGCUCAACUCCAGAACUGCCUUUGAUACUGAGAAGCUUGAGUCCGGGAGAGGUGAGUGGAACUGUGAGUGUAGAGGUGAAAUUCGUAGAUAUUCGCAAGAACACCAGUGGCGAAGGCGGCUCACUGGCCCGAUACUGACGCUGAGGUGCGAAAGCGUGGGGAGCAAACAGG